rnacentral:rRNA from 1 species
GUAGUCCACGCCGUAAACGAUGGAUACUAGCUGUUUGGUAGCAAUACUGAGUGGCUAAGCGAAAGUGAUAAGUAUCCCACCUGGGGAGUACGAACGCAAGUUUGAAACUCAAAGGAAUUGACGGGGGCCCGCACAAGCGGUGGAGCAUGUGGUUUAAUUCGAUGAUACGCGAGGAACCUUACCAGGGCUUAAAUGUAGUGGGACAGGCUUGGAAACAGGCCCUUCUUCGGACUCAUUACAAGGUGCUGCAUGGUUGUCGUCAGCUCGUGCCGUGAGGUGUCAGGUUAAGUCCUAUAACGAGCGCAACCCCUGUUGUUAGUUGCCAGCGAGUAAUGUCGGGAACUCUAACAAGACUGCCGGUGCAAACCGUGAGGAAGGUGGGGAUGACGUCAAAUCAUCACGGCCCUUACGUCCUGGGCUACACACGUGCUACAAUGGCCGGUACAGAGAGCAGCCACUGGGCGACCAGGAGCGAAUCUAUAAAACCGGUCACAGUUCGGAUUGGAGUCUGCAACCCGACUCCAUGAAGCUGGAAUCGCUAGUAAUCGGAUAUCAGCCAUGAUCCGGUGAAUA